rnacentral:rRNA from 1 species
GAUGAACGCUGGCGGCGUGCCUAAUACAUGCCAGUCGAGCGAACAGACGAGGAGCUUGCUCCUCUGACGUUAGCGGCGGACGGGUGAGUAACACGUGGAUAACCUACCUAUAAGACUGGGAUAACUUCGGGAAACCGGAGCUAAUACCGGAUAAUAUAUUGAACCGCAUGGUUCAAUAGUGAAAGACGGUUUUGCUGUCACUUAUAGAUGGAUCCGCGCCGCAUUAGCUAGUUGGUAAGGUAACGGCUUACCAAGGCGACGAUGCGUAGCCGACCUGAGAGGGUGAUUGGUCAGACUGGAACUGAGAAACGUUCGAGACUCCUACGGGAGGAAGCAGUCGGGAAUCUUACGCAAUGGGGGAAAGCCUGACGGAGCAACGCCGCGUGAGUGAUGAAGGUCUUAGGAUCGUAAAACGCUGUAAGUAGGGAGGAAGAAAUGUGUAAGUAACUAUGCACGUCUUGACGGUACCUAAUCAGAAAGCCCCGGCUAACUACGUG